AGCGGGUGAAAAGCCCGCUCGCCGGAAGACCAAGGGUUCCUGUCCAACGUUAAUCGGGGCAGGGUGAGUCGACCCCUAAGGCGAGGCCGAAAGGCGUAGUCGAUGGGAAACGGGUUAAUAUUCCCGUACUUGGUGUUACUGCGAAGGGGGGACGGAGAAGGCUAUGUUGGCCGGGCGACGGUUGUCCCGGUUUAAGCGUGUAGGUGUGUGUUCCAGGUAAAUCCGGUUCACUUUAACACUGAGGCGUGAUGACGAGGCACUACGGUGCUGAAGCAACAAAUGCCCUGCUUCCAGGAAAAGCCUCUAAGCAUCAGGUAACAUCAAAUCGUACCCCAAACCGACACAGGUGGUCAGGUAGAGAAUACCAAGGCGCUUGAGAGAACUCGGGUGAAGGAACUAGGCAAAAUGGUGCCGUAACUUCGGGAGAAGGCACGCUGACACGUAGGUGAAGUGRUUUACUCAYGGAGCUGAAGUCAGUCGAAGAUACCAGCUGGCUGCAACUGUUUAUUAAAAACACAGCACUGUGCAAACACGAAAGUGGACGUAUACGGUGUGACGCCUGCCCGGUGCCGGAAGGUUAAUUGAUGGGGUCAGCGCAAGCGAAGCUCCUGAUCGAAGCCCCGGUAAACGGCGGCCGUAACUAUAACGGUCCUAAGGUAGCGAAAUUCCUUGUCGGGUAAGUUCCGACCUGCACGAAUGGCGUAAUGAUGGCCAGGCUGUCUCCACCCGAGACUCAGUGAAAUUGAACUCGCUGUGAAGAUGCAGUGUACCCGCGGCAAGACGGAAAGACCCCGUGAACCUUUACUAUAGCUUGACACUGAACAUUGAGCCUUGAUGUGUAGGAUAGGUGGGAGGCUUUGAAGUGUGGACGCCAGUCUGCAUGGAGCCGACCUUGAAAUACCACCCUUUAAUGUUUGAUGUUCUAACGUGGACCCGUAAUCCGGGUUGCGGACAGUGUCUGGUGGGUAGUUUGACUGGGGCGGUCUCCUCCUAAAGAGUAACGGAGGAGCACGAAGGUUGGCUAAUCCUGGUCGGACAUCAGGAGGUUAGUGCAAUGGCAUAAGCCAGCUUGACUGCGAGCGUGACGGCGCGAGCAGGUGCGAAAGCAGGUCAUAGUGAUCCGGUGGUUCUGAAUGGAAGGGCCAUCGCUCAACGGAUAAAAGGUACUCCGGGGAUAACAGGCUGAUACCGCCCAAGAGUUCAUAUCGACGGCGGUGUUUGGCACCUCGAUGUCGGCUCAUCACAUCCUGGGGCUGAAGUAGGUCCCAAGGGUAUGGCUGUUCGCCAUUUAAAGUGGUACGCGAGCUGGGUUUAGAACGUCGUGAGACAGUUCGGUCCCUAUCUGCCGUGGGCGCUGGAGAACUGAGGGGGGCUGCUCCUAGUACGAGAGGACCGGAGUGGACGCAUCACUGGUGUUCGGGUUGUCAUGCCAAUGGCACUGCCCGGUAGCUAAAUGCGGAAGAGAUAAGUGCUGAAAGCAUCUAAGCACGAAACUUGCCCCGAGAUGAGUUCUCCCUGAGACUUAGAGUCUCCUGAAGGAACGUUGAAGACGACGACGUUGAUAGGCCGGGUGUGUAAGCGCAGCGAUGCGUUGAGCUAACCGGUACUAAUGAACCGUGAGGCUUAACCUU
rnacentral:rRNA from 1 species